rnacentral:rRNA from 1 species
UGGGGAAUAUUGCACAAUGGGCGCAAGCCUGAUGCAGCCAUGCCGCGUGUAUGAAGAAGGCCUUCGGGUUGUAAAGUACUUUCAGUCGGGAGGAAGGUGGUAAGGUUAAUAACCUUAUCAAUUGACGUUACCGACAGAAGAAGCACCGGCUAACUCCGUGCCAGCAGCCGCGGUAAUACGGAGGGUGCAAGCGUUAAUCGGAAUUACUGGGCGUAAAGCGCACGCAGGCGGUUGAUUGAGUCAGAUGUGAAAUCCCCGGGCUUAACCCGGGAAUUGCAUCUGAUACUGGUCAGCUAGAGUCUUGUAGAAGGGGGUAGAAGUACAUGUGUAGCGGUGAAAUGCGUAGAGAUGUGGAGGAAUACCGGUGGCGAAGGCGGCCCCCUGGACAAAGACUGCCGCUCAGGUGCGAAAGCGUGGGGAGCAAACAGG